rnacentral:rRNA from 1 species
GCGAGUUAACAAAUUUUUAUUUGUAGCGUACGGGUGAGUAAAUAACAGAAUUUUACUUUUUUAGGUUUGAUAUAAAAUAUACUCAUAAAAUUUAUAAUUAUGAAUAAAAAACUUUGUUUUGUAUUAAUAUUAAAUAAAUGUAUAAAUCAUAAGAUAAAAACUAUUAGAUUUAUCUAUUAAAAAAUUUUUUGCUAAAAAAUAAAUCUGUAUAAGAUUAGGUAGUUGGUAAGGAGACAGCUUACCAAGCCAAUAAUCUUUAGUUGAUCUGAGAGGAUGAUCAACCACACUGGAACUGAAACAAGGUCCAGGCCUUUUGGCCAGCAGUGAGGAAUAUUGGACAAUGAACGAAAGUUUGAUCCAGCAAUAUUACAUGAAUGAUGACAGCUAAUUUGGUUGUAAAUUUCUUUCGUCAAAAAUGAUAAUGACAUUAUUUGAAAAAGAAGUCCCGGCUAAUCUCGUGCCAGCAGCCGCGGUAAUACGGGAGGGGCAAGCGUUAUUCAAAAUAACUGGGCGUAAAGGGUUCGUAGACGGUAUUGUAAGUUAAUUGUUAAAUACUAAAGCUUAACUUUAGAAAAAAGCAUUUAAAACUAUUAUACUAGAGUUUUAAACAGAAGAGUAGAAUUUUAUGAGUAAGGAUAAAAUCUGAAAAUACAUAAAGGAAUAUCAGUAGUGAAAGCGACUCUUUAGUAAAAACUGACGUUGAGGGACGAAAGUGUAGGGAGCAAACAGGAUUAGAUACCCUGGUAGUCUACACUGUAAACACUGAGUGUUAAAAU